rnacentral:misc_RNA from 1 species
CCAAUAGCGUAUAUUAAAGUUGUUGCAGUUAAAAAGCUCGUAGUUGAAUUUCGGGAUUAGUACGCUGGUCGUGCCUUCGGUAUGUACUGGUGUUACUGGUUCCUACCUUCUGACGAACCGUCAUGUCAUUAAUUUGGUGUGGCGGGAAAUCAGGACUGUUACUUUGAAAAAAUUAGAGUGUUUAAAGCAGGCGCGCGCUUGAAUACAUUAGCAUGGAAUAAUGAAAUAGGACGUUCGAUCCUAUUUUGUUGGUUUCUAGGAUUGACGUAAUGAUUAAUAGGGAUAGUUGGGGGCAUUAGUAUUCAAUUGUCAGAGGUGAAAUUCUUGGAUUUAUUGAAGACUAACUACUGCGAAAGCAUUUGCCAAGGAUGUUUUCAUUAAUCAAGAACGAAAGUUAGGGGAUCGAAGACGAUCAGAUACCGUCGUAGUCUUAACCAUAAACUAUGCCGACUAGGGAUCGGAUGAUGUUAUUGUUAAUGACUCAUUCGGCGCCUUACG